UCUACGGGGCGCAGCAGUGGGGAAUAUUGGACAAUGGGCGAAAGCCUGAUCCAGCCAUGCCGCGUGUGUGAAGAAGGCCUUCGGGUUGUAAAGCACUUUCAGUGGGGAAGAAAGCCUUGGGGCUAAUACCCUCGAGGAAGGACAUCACCCACAGAAGAAGCACCGGCUAACUCCGUGCCAGCAGCCGCGGUAAUACGGAGGGUGCGAGCGUUAAUCGGAAUUACUGGGCGUAAAGCGCGCGUAGGCGGUCUGAUAAGCCGGUUGUGAAAGCCCCGGGCUCAACCUGGGAACGGCAUCCGGAACUGUCAGGCUAGAGUGCAGGAGAGGAAGGUAGAAUUCCCGGUGUAGCGGUGAAAUGCGUAGAGAUCGGGAGGAAUACCAGUGGCGAAGGCGGCCUUCUGGACUGACACUGACGCUGAGGUGCGAAAGCGUGGGUAGCAAACAGGAUUAGAUACCCCGGUAGUC
rnacentral:rRNA from 1 species